AAUUAAGAGGAAAAAUUUGUCUGAUUGCAACCUCUUCAAACCACUAUUUUUCUCUAAAAACGAGACUUCAUUUGGUAUGGAAAUAAAUGCUAAAGCAGUUUUU
rfam:Bizionia argentinensis JTB59 contig00029, whole genome shotgun sequence.